UUACAGCCAUAUCACAUUGGAACACAGGUUCUCAUCUGAUCACUGAAGUUAAGUAAAAUUGAACUUGGUCAGUACCUAGAUGGGUGACCAUUCAUGAAUACCAGGUGCUGUGA